UUUGAAGCACAUCAACAUUCAACUUCAUAUAGUGAUAGUUGAUAAUCGGAUUGCCUUCACGGAUCACUUGCUUACUGGGUUUAAUUAUCGUCCCCGAAAAUUCAGUAUCUAUAGAUACAAAAGGAUGCCUCAAAAUUGCUUCCUUAAUCAUCAAAAGUUCAGUGUCCAAAUCUUCAGCAAAAACCUGUCUCACAACGAUAGACUUAUUGCCAGAAAUCGACAUCGUUGGUCACAAUAAUAUCUUCUUUCUCUAUUUUGUAGUGUUUUGUUACUGUCUCUGUUGAGUGCCGACUUUAAGAACGGUUUUGUGUGGACUUUAAGAAGUGUUUUUUAAGCUUGUUUAUUGAAUAGGUGUAAUUUCACUCAAUUGAGCUAAGAUUAUUUAUAAGCCCCACAGUUAAUCCCACCUCAAUUAGGAUUUAUCUUUUUAGCUUUUCAUUUAAUCCUACCUCAAUUAGGAUUUAUCAUUUUAGCUUUUCUUUUAAUCCCACCUCCAUUAGGAUUUAUAUAAGCUUAUCUUUUUAAAUUUUCAUUUAAUCUCACCUCAAUUAGGAUUUACCUUUUUAGUUUUUCAUUUAAUCCCACCAUGUUUUUAGCUUUUCAUUUAAUCCCACCAUUGAGGAUUUAUGUUUUUAGCUUUUCAUUUAAUCCCUCCUCAAUUAGGAGGAUUUAUGUUUUUAGUUUUUCAUUUAAUCCCGCCUGAAUUAGGAUACUUCUGUUCGAAUUACUGCUUUCGUUUGUUGUCGAAUGAUUGUGAAUUGUGAUGAUGUUGAACUUGCAGGGUAAGGAGGACGUGUUUGAUGAAUCAUUAUCCUGCAGCAGUCGUUUUUUACUAAUUAUUGAGGAAAGCAGAAAAAUGAAGUGUUUUUUAUUACCAAUUAAUUUGAAUUAGUAUUACUAUUAGUUAUGUUUUUGUUUGCCUUUUACAUAUGUAAAUAAGAAGUUUAGCAAUAAGUAUAAGGCGACGACUGGAGCUGAUUUUUUGACACAGGAAGUGCAGUUUGAGGCUUAGAUUUCACACUCAUCUCUACUCUUUAAAUUUCAAUGAGCUUGUUUUAGUUGCUGUAGGGGAUCUUAAUCUACAAUGAACGACUAUGGUGUGCUAUGACUAGUGCCUACUCCUUUGUUCAUGAACCAAGCUCUAGCUAUGGUGGACUAGUGCUUAACCAGGAUUUCUCAAUUGUAUCUUUUCUCUAUGAUAUUUAACUCAGAACUGCCAAUGCUAACCUUUUCCUUCUUAUUCAUUGAAAAACUCCAUGGCUGCUGAUUUGUGGUUAUUUGAAUAGGGAAUUAUGUUGACUAGACUUCUGUGAUUUAGCAUUAAACAACCUCAUGGAUCACUAUUGAGUAUUUUCUAGCAGAUUGUAGCAUUGCAUUCUAAAAUUAUCUAACUUUUCUUUCUGCCUUUUUGUGUUAUCCCAGUGACCAGUUAGCUCAAAAUUCAUCAAUUCCCCCCCCCCCCACCCCCAAGAUCUGGGACACAGCUGGCCAGGAAAGAUUCCAGAGCCUAGGCGUUGCUUUCUAUUGCGGUGCUCAUUGUUGUGUUCUUGUACAUGAUGUCAACUCAAUGAAAUCGUUUGACAACCUUAACAACUGGAGAGAAGAAUUUCUUAUUCAGGCAAGCCCUUCGGAUCCUGAGAAUUUCCCGUUUGUUGUUUUGGGGAACAAAAUCGAUGUUGAUGGUGGAAACAGUAGAGUGGUAUGCAUUUUUCAGUUCUUCCUUUACAGUGUCACUUCAUGUCCUCUUUCUCCCUAAAAGUUACAAUUAUCCACUUUGUUUUGACUCUCUAGGUGUCUGAGACGAAAGGCCCCAGCAUGGUGUGCCUCGAGACAUCUGCCAAGGAAGGAGUUAACGUGGAAGAAGCUUUCCAAUGCAUAGCGAAGGAUGCUCUAAAGAGUGGGGAAGAGGAAGACAUGUUAAUUAAAAACCAUAAAGUAGUUCUGCAAACAAGACAUUCAGCACUUUCGAAUGGGAAACCUUUCAGCUGUUUCAAACAAAGAUUAUCCCCUGUUUCCUCUGCACCUUUCAGCUGCUUUUAAAAGUUUCAUCACUAUCUUAUUACUCAAAUUGGAAACCUUGAAAGGGUUGUUAAUACUUUUUUUCUGUUCCGCCAAUAAGUACGGUUAAAAUGUUUCGAAUGAUUUGGUGUUUCCCAACCAUUUUAUGGGAUUCAUAGUGUUGGUGUGAGAAACAAA